rnacentral:tRNA from 3 species
CAGUAUAUAGUUUAAUUAUAAAAUAUAGAUUUUGGGUAUCUAAAAUAUGUAAAUACAUUAUAUUGA